rnacentral:rRNA from 1 species
CCUACGGGAGGCAGCAGUGAGGAAUAUUGGUCAAUGGACGCAAGUCUGACGCAGCGACGCCGCGUGAGGGAUGAAGGUCUUCGGAUCGUAAACCUCUGUCAGCAGGGAAGAACGGUCACUGUGCUAAUCAGCAGUGAAUUGACGGUACCUGCAAAGGAAGCACCGGCUAACUACGUGCCAGCAGCCGCGGUAAUACGGAGGGUGCGAGCGUUAAUCGGAAUUACUGGGCGUAAAGCGCUCGUAGGCGGUAUGUCAAGUCAAGGGUGAAAUCCCCGCGCUCAACGGGGGAACUGCCUUUGAAACUGGCAAACUGGAGUGUGUGAGAGGAUAGUGGAAUUCCAGGUGUAGGAGUGAAAUCCGUAGAUAUCUGGAGGAACACCAGUGGCGAAGGCGACUAUCUGGCACAUAACUGACGCUGAGGAGCGAAAGCGUGGGUAGCAAACAGGAUUAGAUACCCUGGUAGUC